GUGUCAGCAGCCGCGGUAAUACGUAGGGAGCGAGCAUUGUCCGGAUUUACUGGGUGUAAAGGGUGCGUAGGCGGCUCUGCAGGUCAGGUGUGAAAACUAUCGGCUCAACUGAUAGACUGCAUUUGAAACUGUGGAGCUUGAGUGAAGUAGAGGCAGAUGGAAUUCCCGGUGUAGCGGUGAAAUGUGUAGAGAUCGGGAGGAACACCAGUGGCGCACGCGAUCUGUUGGGCUAUAAAUGACGCUGAGGCGCGAAAGCAUGGGUAGCAAACAGGAUUAGAUACCCUGGUAGUCCAUGCCGUAAACGAUGAGUACUAGGUGUGGGGGGUCUGAC
rnacentral:rRNA from 1 species